rnacentral:rRNA from 1 species
AUUGAACGCUGGCGGCAGGCUUAACACAUGCAAGUCGAGCGGAGAUGAGGUGCUUGCACCUUAUCUUAGCGGCGGACGGGUGAGUAAUGCUUAGGAAUCUGCCUAUUAGUGGGGGACAACAUUCCGAAAGGAAUGCUAAUACCGCAUACGCCCUACGGGGGAAAGCAGGGGAUCUUCGGACCUUGCGCUAAUAGAUGAGCCUAAGUCGGAUUAGCUAGUUGGUGGGGUAAAGGCCUUCCAAGGCGACGAUCUGUAGCGGGUCUGAGAGGAUGAUCGGCCACAGUGGGACUGAGACACGGCCCAGACUCCUACGGGAGGCAGCAGUGGGGAAUAUUGGACAAUGGGCGGAAGCCUGAUCCAGCCAUGCCGCGUGUGUGAAGAAGGCCUUUUGGUUGUAAAGCACUAUAAGCGAGGAGGAGGCUACCUGGAUUAAUACUCUAGGAUAGUGGACGUUACUCGCAGAAUAAGCACCGGCUAACUCUGUGCCAGCAGCCGCCGUAACAC